rnacentral:lncRNA from 1 species
GUAUGCCUAAGUAUAAAAAUACAUGCUCAAAACUGUAAAUUGUCAUGCCAUCAUAAACAGUACAGCAAGGGAGUUUUUCGCUAAAAGGCCCAAGCUUACUAAGUUCAUUUGUGAUUCUUAAAGUUCGUCUGCAGACUAAGUUCUCUUGUAAUCUAUCAUAUCUGGAACUUUGUGCCGGAGAGGUGGCCACCUCUCACGGUCACUUGACCGGCCAACCCGCUAGAUGACUCACGGUCACUGGUGUACACUAGCCCUGGCAGGAUAGCUAUCAACUGCUCAGGACCCGAAUUCGAUUGCAUCAUUGGCAAAGCCAAAGCAGAUAGAUAUCAUACUAAAAUUUAAACAUUUUAUGGCAAGACAAUACUUGAAAUAACUUUAACUCAGAGAUUUUGUCAUGAAAUAACUUGCUUGAACGUAACAUUUAAACUCAUUUGAUAUAUAUGAAAGUAAUGCCCACCUGAUUAGGCAAUGCCUGUCGUUUAUUCUUAACUCUAAAUCGGUAUAGCAGUGUUACUCCUCACGAUCCACAAAGCCUACAAGAAAUCUAUAAUCUUAAUAGGUCUCCUGAAUCUAAUAUUAAGUUAUAGUGUAGUGCUUAUCAUCCUAUGAUUCACUUAGCCGGGUUUUGAAAAUUUAAUAAAUAAAUAAUUGAAAACUAAAUUCUUGAGUUAAGGACACCAACAAUAUCCAUACUCGAUUUUCUUAAAUAAUUGGAUUUAUAAAUAAAACCAAUUAAAUCAUAAAUACUUUUAUUGCAUGAUGCAAAUGCAUACUUAACAUAUGGUAAGUAAUUACUUAAAAUAUGCACAUAAUAAUAAUAUAAUAUUAUUAUGCAAAUCAUCU